ACUAUAAAUUGUCCCCCAUGCUUGCGCUCCGGGGCUCCGGGCUCAGACCUCUGGAGAACAAUCUCCUCUGAACCCACCGAUGUGAAAUAAACCUCCUGACUUCCAAGAUGCCCAAGUGCCGCUUGGUUCUUCCGCCGGGUGAUCCAGAGCAGGUUCCGUAACAUUCGGUUCCCUGACCAGGAAAACCAACCGCGCUGGCCCGUUGUUGCCACCGGUUUGGGAAAAUGGUGAGGCGAUGAUGGAACGAGGAAUCGCAGCGGAGAAGGUGCCCCCUGCCUGAUAUGCGUCAUUCUCCCACUUUGUCGCCUCAGGCUGGCCCCGCUCUGCCGUUCCCGCUGGGCUCGAGGAGACUUGGCAGAGAAGAAACUGAGACUCGGAGAGGUUAAGUGACUUACUCAAGCAUGCAAAGCAGGAGAUCCAGGAUCUAAACAGUGUACUAUGACUCUGAAGCCCAGCAUUUUCCUAUUUUGCUUCCUGACCUCCCCAAACUACGCUUUUCUUACACAGAGCAUCUGCUGUACUUCAAGAGCAAAGGCCAGAGAAUUAAAAAGCUUUACUUCGCUCAUGUAAUCUACCAAAUCAGGGGAGGAGGAGUCAAGAUGGCGGAACAGCAUGGAAGUUUUUUGUGUGUCUCGCGUCCAUGAAAUACAGCCAGACCAACACUAAACCAUCUUGCACACCUAGAAAACUGAUCUGAGGAUUAACACAAG